UACGUAGGGUGCAAGCGUUGUCCGGAAUUAUUGGGCGUAAAGAGCUCGUAGGCGGUUCGUCGCGUCGGCUGUGAAAUCCCGAGGCUCAACCUCGGGUCUGCAGUCGAUACGGGCGGACUGGAGUACUGCAGGGGAGACUGGAACUCCUGGUGUAGCGGUGAAAUGCGCAGAUAUCAGGAGGAACACCGGUGGCGAAGGCGGGUCUCUGGGCAGUUACUGACGCUGAGGAGCGAAAGCGUGGGGAGCGAACAGG
rnacentral:rRNA from 1 species